GGGGUAGUAAAGGUUUCGACAGGGUAUUAGAAGUCGGAGAAGCAAGCCGCAGGAUGAUGCGUUAAAUCUCAAAUUAAAAUUAAACGCUGACGAAAAAUUAGCAUACGCUGCCUAAUGGCAGCAGUCGGCUCUAGAGCACUCACACUUUAGACUCCCGGCUUCAAACAUGUGAGAAACGACAAUGUCAAAGCUUUGAGGCAUUGGGCGUAUUAUGAAGCUACUGAAAUCAUAACCGUGCUGGUUCCGGGUAUGGUGGAGGAAAUGUCAAUUGAUCAGCUAAGCUUGUAGAAGGACGAUGGAAGGUGCUUUGGACGCGGGUUCGAUUCCCGCCUAUUCCA
rnacentral:sRNA from 1 species